rnacentral:rRNA from 1 species
GAUGAACGCUGGCGGCGUGCCUAAUACAUGCAAGUCGAGCGAACAGACGAGGAGCUUGCUCCUCUGACGUUAGCGGCGGACGGGUGAGUAACACGUGGAUAACCUACCUAUAAGACUGGGAUAACUUCGGGAAACCGGAGCUAAUACCGGAUAAUAUAUUGAACCGCAUGGUUCAAUAGUGAAAGACGGUUUUGCUGUCACUUAUAGAUGGAUCCGCGCCGCAUUAGCUAGUUGGUAAGGUAACGGCUUACCAAGGCGACGAUGCGUAGCCGACCUGAGAGGGUGAUCGGCCACACUGGAACUGAGACACGGUCCAGACUCCUACGGGAGGCAGCAGUAGGGAAUCUUCCGCAAUGGUCGAAAGCCUGACGGAGCAACGCCGCGUGAGUGAUGAAGGUCUUCGGAUCGUAAAACUCUGUUAUGAGGGAAGAACAAAUGUGUAAGUAACUAUGCACGUCUUGACGGUACCUAAUCAGAAAGCCACGGCUAACUACGUG